rnacentral:rRNA from 1 species
AUUGAACGCUGGCGGCAGGCCUAACACAUGCAAGUCGAGCGGAUGAGAGGAGCUUGCUUCUCGAUUCAGCGGCGGACGGGUGAGUAAUGCCUAGGAAUCUGCCUAGUAGUGGGGGACAACGUUUCGAAAGGAACGCUAAUACCGCAUACGUCCUACGGGAGAAAGUGGGGGAUCUUCGGACCUCACGCUAUUAGAUGAGCCUAGGUCGGAUUAGCUAGUUGGUAGGGUAAAGGCCUACCAAGGCGACGAUCCGUAACUGGUCUGAGAGGAUGAUCAGUAACACGGGAACUGGGACACGGUCCAGACUCCUACGGGAGGCAGCAGUGGGGAAUAGUGGACAAUGGGCGCAAGCCUGAUCCAGCCAUGCCGCGUGUGUGAAGAAGGCCCUCGGGUCGUAAAGCACUUUAAGUUGGGAGGAAGGGCUUACAGCGAAUACCUGUGAGUUUUGACGUUACCGACAGAAUAAGCACCGGCUAACUUCGUGCCAGCCGCCGCCGUAA